AUUGAACGCUGGCGGCAUGCUUUACACAUGCAAGUCGAACGGCAGCGCGGGCUUCGGCCUGGCGGCGAGUGGCGAACGGGUGAGUAAUACAUCGGAACGUGCCCAGUAGUGGGGGAUAGCUCGGCGAAAGCCGGAUUAAUACCGCAUACGACCUGAGGGUGAAAGCGGGGGAUCUUCGGACCUCGCGCUAUUGGAGCGGCCGAUGGCAGAUUAGCUAGUUGGUGGGGUAAAGGCCUACCAAGGCGAUGAUCUGUAGCUGGUCUGAGAGGACGACCAGCCACACUGGGACUGAGACACGGCCCAGACUCCUACGGGAGGCAGCAGUGGGGAAUUUUGGACAAUGGGCGAAAGCCUGAUCCAGCAAUGCCGCGUGUGUGAUGAAGGCCUUCGGGUUGUAAAGCACUUUUGGCGGGAACGAAAAGGACUGUGCCAAUACCACGGUUCGAUGACGGUACCCGCAGAAUAAGCACCGGCUAACUACGUG
rnacentral:rRNA from 1 species